rnacentral:rRNA from 1 species
GACAGAGGGUGCGAACGUUGUUCGGAAUUACUGGGCGUAAAGCGCAUGUAGGCGGCAGCGCAAGUCGCGUGUGAAAGCCCCCGGCUCAACUGGGGAGGGUCACGCGAUACUGAUCGACUCGAAGGCAGGAGAGGGAAGUGGAAUUCCCGGUGUAGUGGUGAAAUGCGUAGAUAUCGGGAGGAACACCAGUGGCGAAGGCGACUUCCUGGCCUGUUCUUGACGCUGAGGCGCGAAAGCUAGGGGAGCAAACGGG